rnacentral:rRNA from 1 species
UCCGUAGGGUGCGAGCGUUAAUCGGAAUUACUGGGCGUAAAGCGUGCGCAGGCGGUCUGUUAAGACCGAUGUGAAAUCCCCGGGCUUAACCUGGGAACUGCAUUGGUGACUGGCAGGCUUUGAGUGUGGCAGAGGGAGGUAGAAUUCCACGUGUAGCAGUGAAAUGCGUAGAGAUGUGGAGGAAUACCGAUGGCGAAGGCAGCCUCCUGGGCCAACACUGACGCUCAUGCACGAAAGCGUGGGGAGCAAA